rnacentral:rRNA from 1 species
GACGUAGGGCGCGAGCGUUGUCCGGAUUUAUUGGGCGUAAAGAGCUCGUAGGCGGCUUGUCGCGUCGACUGUGAAAUCCCGCGGCUCAACUGCGGGUCUGCAGUCGAUACGGGCAGGCUAGAGUUCGGUAGGGGAGACUGGAAUUCCUGGUGUAGCGGUGAAAUGCGCAGAUAUCAGGAGGAACACCGGUGGCGAAGGCGGGUCUCUGGGCCGAUAUUGACGCUGAGGAGCGAAAGCGUGGGAGCGAACAGG